GCCUCGGUGGAGUAAUGGUAGAACACGCGCCCAAGGAAUGGAUGAAACGCGGGUUCGAUUCCUGCCUGAGGCC